ACUCCUACGGGAGGCAGCAGUGGGGAAUUUUGGACAAUGGGCGAAAGCCUGAUCCAGCCAUGCCGCGUGAGUGAAGAAGGCCUUCGGGUUGUAAAGCUCUUUCAGGUGGAAAGAAAACGCAUAGGUUAAUACCUUGUGCGGAUGACGGUACCAUCAGAAGAAGCACCGGCUAACUACGUGCCAGCAGCCGCGGUAAUACGUAGGGUGCGAGCGUUAAUCGGAAUUACUGGGCGUAAAGCGUGCGCAGGCGGUUAUGUAAGACAGAUGUGAAAUCCCCGGGCUCAACCUGGGAACUGCGUUUGUGACUGCAUAACUAGAGUACGGCAGAGGGAGGUGGAAUUCCGCGUGUAGCAGUGAAAUGCGUAGAUAUGCGGAGGAACACCGAUGGCGAAGGCAGCCUCCUGGGCCAGUACUGACGCUCAUGCACGAAAGCGUGGGGAGCAAACAGGAUUAGAUACCCUGGUAGUCCACGCCCUAAACGAUGUCAACUAGUUGUUCGGUGAGGAGACUCAUUGAGUAACGCAGCUAACGCGUGAAGUUGACCGCCUGGGGAGUACGGCCGCAAGGUUAAAACUCAAAGGAAUUGACGGGGACCCGCACAAGC
rnacentral:rRNA from 1 species